GGGUUACAUCGGGGUGUGUGUCUGUGUGUGUGUGUGUGUGUGUGUGUGUGUGUGUGUGUCUCUGAAACCAGUGUUUCUCAGCUUGAUCCUCAGGGUUGCUAAAAAAUAUUUGGAUUCUAUUUAUGUUUAAUGAACAAAAAAAUUAGUUUCAAUGAAAACUUUAUUUGUAAUGAUGAAUUCAAGUUGUUACCAGCCUCCCAAGUAAGAUGCCAGAGACUUCAAACACUGCUGUUGUUUCUCAAGGAAAAGAUCCAGUUAACAAGGAAUCAUUCUCUCUUCUUCAAUAGCUGCUUAUGGAUGGCUGAUGGGUGGGAAGGCCAGGAGCCAGAGGUGUACCACAGCUGCUGUGCCUGCCAAAGAACAACCAGGUGUUCUGGUCUUUUGUUCGUAUUCUUUAAGAAAUAAAAACAUCAGUAGGAGGGGAAGGAGGAAGGAAGGAGAAGAAAGAGGAAGAAUAGGAGGAGAAGAGGAAGACAGGAAGAAGUCGUGAAUAGCCCUCCUGCAUUUUGCAUCAGGUAGAAAAGUCAGUUGAAUGUUGGGAAGAACACAAAUAACGGAGUCUCACUCUGUUGCCAGGUUGGAGUGCAGUGGCACGAUCUCAGCUCACUGCAACCUCCGCCUCCUGGAUUCAAGCAAUUCUCCGGCUUCAGCCUCCCGAGUAGCUGAGACUACAGCUUACACAUUCCUCCCCAUUCUCUGAAUUCCCACAAAGACUGUUAUUGCUGGGGCUCAUAAAAUUAUACCCCGAAGUAUGAUGCUUUGGCAUCCAGAGUGCUUUGAACUAAAGGAGACUGAAGGCCCCAGAAGCCAAGUUUCCCUCUGACCUUCUCCUGCCUUCCUGUCUCCCACCCCCUGCUUUUCCCCUGAAGUGAGUCCUGGAAACCAGAAUUCUUCUUGCCCAAAGCAAGCCAUGACACCCUGGAAAUAUCACUCUAACCUUCCUUUCCUUUCCGUGUGGCAGCUGGCCAUGAAGAAAUUCUCUGACCUACCUUGUUUGAUAGCAGAUCACAAGACCCUGGUUCCAGAGCAGUCCUGCUUUACACCUAGGGAAAGGAAUGUCAUACAGAAAGGCCAAGAAGAAUCUGAAGAGAUGUCCAAUCACCUUUGCACGUGGCUGCCCAUUCUUCAUUGAACCUAAGCAUUAAAAUAGACAGUUUCCCCUGGGUCUUUGGGUCUUCAUUUCUGAAGACUCCAUGUCGUGUAAAACUUUGAUUAAAUAAAUGUAUCAUGCAUU